UACAGAGACUGCAAGCGUUAUUCGGAUUCACUGGGCGUAAAGGGUGCGCAGGCGGCCAAGUGUGUGAGGCGUGAAAGCCCGGGGCUUAACCCCGGAAUUGCACCUCAAACUACAUGGCUAGAGCAUUGGAGAGGGUAGCGGAAUUCACGGUGUAGCAGUGAAAUGCGUAGAUAUCGUGAGGAACACCAGAGGCGAAGGCGGGCUACUGGGCUGAUACUGACGCUGAGGCGCGAAAGCUAGGGGAGCAAACGGG
rnacentral:rRNA from 1 species